rnacentral:piRNA from 1 species
UAAGCAAGUCUCUGGACAGGAUGUGCAA